AUUGAACGCUGGCGGCAGGCCUAACACAUGCAAGUCGAAGGGAGUGGCGAACGGGUGAGUAACACGUGAGUAACCUGCCCUUUUCUUUGGGAUAAGCCUAGGAAACUGGGUCUAACACUGGAUGGAUUGGGCUGGGCUCGUGGCUUAUCAGCUUGUUGGUGGGGUGAUGGCGUACCAAGGCUUUGACGGGUAGCCGGCCUGAGAGGGUGGACGGGAACACUGGGACUGAGAUGCGUCCCAGGCGCGUACGGGGGGCAGCAGUGGGGGAUAUGGGACAAUGGACGAAAGUCGGAUGCAGCGACGUCGUGUGGGGGAUUAGGGCCUUCGGGUUGUAAACUCCUUUCGCCCGCGGAAUGGUAGUGGGUAAAGAAGCGCCGGCUAACUACGUGCCAGCAGCCGCGGUAAUUC
rnacentral:rRNA from 1 species